rnacentral:rRNA from 1 species
UACGAAGGGGGCUAGCGUUGCUCGGAAUGACUGGGCGUAAAGGGCGCGUAGGCGGUUCGUACAGUCAGACGUGAAAUUCCCGGGCUCAACCUGGGGGCUGCGUUUGAUACGUACGGGCUUGAGUUCGGAAGAGGGUCGUGGAAUUCCCAGUGUAGAGGUGAAAUUCGUAGAUAUUGGGAAGAACACCGGUGGCGAAGGCGGCGACCUGGUCCGAUACUGACGCUGAGGCGCGAAAGCGUGGGGGAGCAAACAGG